CUCGUAGGCGGCCAACUAAGUCAGACGUGAAAUCCCUCGGCUUAACCGGGGAACUGCGUCUGAUACUGGAUGGCUCGAGGUUGGGAGAGGGACGCGGAAUUCCAGGUGUAGCGGUGAAAUGCGUAGAUAUCUGGAGGAACACCGGUGGCGAAGGCGGCGUCCUGGACCAAUUCUGACACUGAGGAGCGAAAGCCAGGGGAGCAAACG
rnacentral:rRNA from 1 species